AGUGGGGUAGUGCAGUGGUUAGCAUACUUCACCGGUAAUGAAGAGAUCUGAAGAUCAAAUCUCGGCUCCACCA
rnacentral:tRNA from 2 species